GUGCACGCUGGCGGUAGGCCUCACACCUGCCAGUCGAACGGCAGCACCGUAAGAGCUUGCUCUUACGGGUGGCGAGUGGCGGACGGGUGAGGAAUACAUCGGAAUCUACUUUUUCGUGGGGGAUAACGUAGGGAAACUUACGCUAAUACCGCAUACGACCUACGGGUGAAAGCAGGGGAUCUUCGGACCUUGCGCGAUUGAAUGAGCCGAUGUCGGAUUAGCUAGUUGGCGGGGUAAAGGCCCACCAAGGCGACGAUCCGUAGCUGGUCUGAGAGGAUGAUCAGCCACACUGGAACUGAGACACGGUCCAGACUCCUACGGGAGGCAGCAGUGGGGAAUAUUGGACAAUGGGCGCAAGCCUGAUCCAGCCAUACCGCGUGGGUGAAGAAGGCCUUCGGGUUGUAAAGCCCUUUUGUUGGGAAAGAAAAGCAGCAGGUUAAUACCCCGCUGUUCUGACGGUACCCAAAGAAUAAGCACCGGCUAACUUCGUG
rnacentral:rRNA from 1 species